GCUGCGGUUCAUGAGGCGGCUUCUGCUGCUGCUCGCCGCCCUGGCGGCGGCCGCGCACUCGGUGACGGUGCUGGACAGCUGGUGGCCGGAGCAGUCGGCGCUGCUCCGGAGGGCGUCGGACGGCCGCCGCGUGCUGCGGGCCGUGCUCCGCGACGGCCGCGUCGCCCAGUGCGAGCGCGGCGAGCUGGGCCGCUUCCUCGACGAGGUGGCCGCCCACUCGCGGUGCCGCGGGGGCAACGCCACCGGCCCGCCGUGCGACCACCGGCUGCACCGGCUGCGGUCGCUCGAGUGGCAUCGCAUGAGGCGCGCCUGUGGCAGGCUGCAGCGGAGGAGGCGCCGCCGGGAUCUCUUCCUGUACCCGGGAACCAACUGGUGUGGCUCGGGAAGUUCGGCGCGCAGGAUAAACGAGCUCGGAGCCAACUCGCGGGCCGACCGCUGCUGCCGCGAGCACGACCACUGCCCCUUCACCAUCGAGGCGUUCCAGAGGAGGUUCCACUUGUUCAACUACAGGCUGCACACGCUCAGUCACUGUGAAUGCGACGAGAGGUUCCGGAGCUGCUUGAAGAUGACCAACAACGGGGCUUCGCAUAUGGUGGGCAAGCUGUACUUCAACGUGGUGCAGACUAAGUGUUUCGUCUUCAAGUACCGCCAUGUCUGCGAACUGCGUUCCUGGUGGGGCAAGUGCCUCAAGCGAGAGAAGCGCAAGGUCGCCGUGCUUCGAGCCGGCGUGUCCUACUGACAGUCUCCACGUGAUACGCGCUAAUGAAGGUACAGCACAGAUACCAGUAGUGAAGGAGGCAUAUACAAGUAGAGCAGUGACCUUAUGGGUGCACCCUUCAGCAGAAGUUCAUUCACCAAGGCUUCCGUGACAGAAGAAAGAAAAUAUCUUUUGCAGCUAUGUUAUGUAACCUCAAAUUGAGUCUUAAUUCGACCAUGGGAACAUCGCAGUGCACUUCGUCUGUUUAUAUUCGAUUGUGUAACCAAGGUACAUAGAAAUUGAGGAGUUUCAUAGAACAUGUCUGUAUACCCUUUCUCACCUGCUUACAUAACCAUGACAAUAUGUGCAUUAUCCCGCAAUUUCCAGAUCGGUCUCUCUGUGAUUAAAUGUGCAGAAAUUACUUUUGACCAUGUGAAACCUAAGAUGUUCCUGAAUGUUGGGACGAAUGUGGUGUGCUUUCACAUGUUUCCCUCGCUAGUGCUUGUGCUGUUGCAUUUAAUUUGCGUGCCGUGCCCUGUAGCACGAUAUGUAAAUAAAUGCCU